rnacentral:rRNA from 1 species
GAAUUUUGGGCAAUGGGGGCAACCCUGACCCAGCAACGCCGCGUGGAGGACGAAGGUUUUCGGAUCGUAAACUCCUGUCCCGAGGGAAGAAAAAAAUGACGGUACCUUGGGAGGAAGCCCCGGCUAACUCCGUGCCAGCAGCCGCGGUAAUACGGGGGGGGCAAGCGUUGUUCGGAAUUACUGGGCGUAAAGGGCGCGCAGGCGGUUAGGGAAGUCAAAGGUGAAAGCCCCCGGCUCAACCGGGGAAUUGCCUGUGAAACCACCUGACUGGAGUGCUGGAGAGGAAAGCGGAAUUCCCAGUGUAGCGGUGAAAUGCGUAGAUAUUGGGAGGAACAUCUGUGGCGAAGGCGGCUUUCUGGACAGACACUGACGCUGAGGCGCGAAAGCCAGGGGAGCAAACGGG